rnacentral:lncRNA from 1 species
AUCAUCUUUCGUGUGGAACUGCACAGUUUCAAUGGCAAUGCCGUCCGGGAAAAGACGAGCAGAUACUUUCCUUGUGUGUGUGCGUGUGUGACACCGGUCUGAUGUGUGCAUCUUGUGACUUUGUGGGUGAGGUUGAGACGUCGCCUUUGCUUUGAUGUGAGUGUGAGGUUGAGCUGAUGUAUCUGUAUAUAGAAAGCUCUGGGUGCCUUACCUAAUGGUAUUGAGUUUGGUUUCUUUUCCAUUGUUUUUUGCUCAGUCAUAAUUUCUCGGUUGACUUGUGUGCUUGUUGUGUGUUUGCGCUUUCAAUUGUUUGUGGAUAUUUGUAUUAUAUUGCUGUGUAUGGGUUUGUAUAGCAGAGACAUUGAUGUCAAGAUUGUAAAAUAAUGCGGUGGUUCUACCCAUUUUUAUAAUUUAUUUAAUAGCUACCAAACUAAUCGACCGACACAUCUUGCAUAAUCUAAGAACAGAAUAAAAGCGUUAAAGGAUUUUAAAAGCUGGUUCAUGGCAAAAAGAAAGUAAUUUAAAAGACAAGUUUGAGAACUUCCAUGGCACAUCGGAAUUUAUCUCCUUUUAGAGCUAAAAUCAUAUACAUUGUUGUAAAGGACACCAAUACGGCUCGACGCACGUUGUCACGUUCACCGUUACAUCAGCAUAGACGACAUCUGGCGCACACGCACAUUUUUGCACGGUGGACUAACGGCCUAUCACGAGCUAUGAUCAGCUCACUCACGUUUGCACUUUACCUACGCCUCGUUAUAAAUUCAUCAAUCUAUGAUGAAUACUAAGAGCAUAGAUCUUUUUUUAAAGAGCAUAAUCCAUCCUUUCUUCACCCGCAAAAAAAAUCCAUCAUUUCUUAAAAAAGAGCAUAUUUUACAUAAAUGAACCUUCUAUAAUCCAAAGAGGCCUUAAAGAAAAACAACAACUUCUUUAGUCAAAAGAAUUAUUAUUUUUAGAGCAACCAUAAUGUUCACAGGGACACAAGCUAUGUUCUGUGGGAAGGCGAGCCACAUAUUUCGUUCACACUCUAAGCUACAAGCAACUUUGACUAAAUUAUAAGCCUCGAAAUUACAUGACCUAGGGGGCGGAGCCAACAACAUUCAUAUCAACAUUUGUAAAGUAAUGCACUGAAUCUUAACCAUUUAAUUUAACACUGUAGCUAGCUAACAAAUCGACCUACACAUCCUGCAUAAUCUGAGAAGUAACAUAAUAAAAGUGUUAAAGGAAUUUAAAAGCCAGUUUGCAAAAACAAAAAAAUGCGAUUUGAGCAGACAUGAGAACCUCCACGUCACAUCUGAUUUUCCACCCCGUAGAGCCCAAAUCAUGUACAUUAUUAUAAAUGACACCAACACGUCGCGACCCACAUGCACAUUAGCACACGCACCAUCUACAUGGUGCACGCGCAGUUUUGCACGGCAGACCAACGACCCGUCACGCACUAUGACCAGCUCACUCACUUGCGCUUUGCCUUUACCGUGUUGUAAAUUCAUUAACCUAUCAUAAAAACUAAGAGCAUAAACCCGUUCUUCAAAAAAUAGCAUACAUCCAUUCUUUUGAAGAAAAGAGCAUAUCUCACGCAAAUGGGUUUUCUAUAAUCUAGAGAGGCAUUAAAGGGAAAAACAACAACUCUUUUUAGCUGAAAAAACAAUUAUUAUAGCAACCGAAAAGCUUUAUUGCACAUAGGGAUACAAGCGAUGUUCGGAGAGGAGGCUAGCCAGAUAUUUCGCCCACACUCGGAAGCUACAAGCAGCUCUGCCUGAAUCAUGAGUUUCAAAGUUAAGCGAUGUGGAUGCCAACACUAGUAAAACAAUGCAGUGGUUCUUACCCAUUUUUUUCAAUUUAAUAGCUGGCUAACUAAUUGACCUACACGUCCCGCAUAAUAUGAGGAGUAUAACAGAACAAAAGUGUUAAGGAUUUUAAAAGCCAGUCCGCAAACAAGAAAAGAAAUGAUUUAGAAAGAUAAGAUUGAGAAUUUCCAAGACACGUUGGAAUUUUGCGCCGAGAUCAUAUAUAUUACUGUAAAGAACAACACCAACGCGGCGCGGCGCGAUCUGCACGCGCAUUGUCACGUUGCCAUCACAUCAGCACACACACACACACGACAUCUUCACGGCGCACACGCAGUUUUGUAAGUGCUACGUCUUGAGCUUGCGUUGGUUUUUCCCGAAGAGGAAGGGAUGAUGCAGCAAAGUAGCGUAAGUAUUUCUCUUAGUUUUUUAGAACCAAGGUAUCAAUCCAGUAGGAGCCCACGCUCAAGUCCCUCGUAUCUGCACAAAGCGAUAGCUACUCGCAACCAACGCGAUUAGGGGUUGUCAAGCCCUUCACGGUCACUUACAGAGUGAGAUCUGAUAGAUAGAAUAUUUUUGGUAUUUUUGAUAUAAGGAUGCAAAGUAAAAAGUAAAAGCAAAGUAAAUAGCAAAACAAUAUAAAAGUGAUGGAGAUUGAUAUGAUGAGAAUAGACCCUAGGUUUCACUAGCGGCUUCUCUCAAGAGCAUAAGUAUUCUACGGUGGGUGAACAAAUUACUGUUUAGCAAUUGAUAGAAUUGUGCAUAAUUAUGAGAAUAACUAGGCAUGAUCAUGUAUAUAGGCAUCACGUCCGUGACAAGUAGAUCGAAACGAUUCUGCAUCUACUACUAUUACUCCACUCAUCGACCGCUAUCCAGCAUGCAUCUAGAGCAUUAAGUUAAAAACAGAGUAACGCCUUAAGCAAGAUGACAUGAUGUAGAGAGAUAAUUUCAUGCAAUAUGAAAUAAACCCCAUCUUGUUAUCCUUGAUGGCAACGAUACAAUAUGUGCCUUGCUGCCCCUUCUGUCACUGGGUAAGGA